UUCCACUUCCGGAGUUCAGAGGUCAGCAGUUGCUGCUGCCUGGGGAAGGGCAGCCGGCAGCCGACUCAAAGCAGCAUCCUGCACCCUCAAUGACCUGAAACUAGAGUUGUGGGCAACGUCUAGGUCACGGACUUCAGCCCACUCUGCCUAGAAGGGUCCUUCUCACUCUUUGGAGUAGAUGAGCACGCUGUUUUUCUCCCCUGCCAUGAUGCUGGUCCCUCAUAGACCCUAAAGCAACAGGACGAACUAUCCCUGGUCUGAGACCUCGGAAACGCGACCCGCCACUGCCCUUUCUCUUCGGUACCUCUGGUGUUUCUUACAUGGACCAAGCCUUUUCAUACACCCACUGUGCCGCAGUUUAUAAGCCUCUACACAAGGCCUUCUCCCCAUCAGUGAGAAGAUCCUUUGAGGGAGAAAGAGUUCUGAAUUCCCUCUGUUUCCCCAAUACCCACACAAGAAAGUGCUUCCGUGUUGACUAAGUGAAUCCUAACCAAAGCUCUCAGAAUAAUUUGGGAUGUCCCAUUCAGAUCACCAUUGAGAAAGCUCCCUUGUGGGCUGGAGAGGUGGCUCAGUGCCUAAGAGUGAGCAGUGCUGUCCAGUGCCCUGAUCUGGGAGUCUUGCAGCUGCCUAUAACCUCUAGUUCUAGAAGAUCGGAUGCCUCUAGUGUCUAUGAGCACCUGCGUGGGACACACACACACACAAUUAAAAUUAAAUCUUUAAAAACUAAAAUCCCCUUGUGACUGCCACAGUGAAGUUCUGAAGCCCAGACAUCUGCAGACCUUGUCUAACUGGCUGGGUCAUCGAUGUUUAGCCUUCUCUGGGUACAGUUGUCCUCAUAGCUGCAGGGCGCCAUUGUUCUGGAGUCCCUGUAGCCACAGGCAGAGUUAUAUGUACACAUUCAGCAAAUGAGCCACGUUCCAACAAAAUUUGAUUUCUA